CUUACGUGACGCCAUUUUCCAGCAGCAGCUAAUGUAAUGCCCUCUACCAGCAACGAAGAUAUACGAACAAGCUUGAUGCUUUGUCCUUUCAUUUGGCACAAACCACAAAUAUGUGGCAGCAGUGGCAAGGAAGUAAUUGCAACAUGGCAGACGUGCGUUUGAGCUUUGAAGCACGGAAGCAGAUAAUUAAGUGGUACUGGAAGUUUGAGGAUGUAGCUGCGGUUUGAAGACAGUGGAGAAGUGAGUAUCAUACAGAACCACCUUCAAGGUUAACAAUUACACAUCUACGAGACAAAUUUGAAACUCAUGGAACAGUGUGUGAUGUGCCUAAAGGACGAUCAGGGUGACCUCGUACAGCUACAAGUGAUGAUUCCACAACUGUGGUCUUGGAACUGUUUCAGCAUUCACCUCAAAAAUCUUCAAGGCAAGCGGAUGGUACUGACUGAUGAAGGGGGCACUGCUUUGUGAUUGGUUCUCAGGGGAUAGUGGGAGAAUUGUGGUAUGAGGGGGAAUUGCAUGGACAAUCUCUUUGUGGACUAGGACUGGGGGAUAGUAUCUGUCUGUAAGGCCUUGGUGAGACCCUCAGCAUACUGUCCAAGGGAUUUUUUGUCAUUGCAAGAGAGAGGUUUGUAAGAAGGUUCAGCAAGCAAACACCAAGGCAUUGGAAAGUCAAGUGGAGGCAGUGAAGUAUAAGGAGGUUUUACCUCAGGGCACUGUAUGUCACUGGGUAAUGUUGUCAACUUCGUAUACUCCAAAAGCAAAGACAAAUAAGUUUGUGACAUGGUAUCAGUGUCCGUACGAAGUGACUGAAACCAUGUCACCUGUAAAUAUGAAGCUACAGUUAUGAACGAGGUCAACAAAUGUGAAAGGUGGGCAUCUAUGAUGAUUCAGAGGUAUGCCAGAAGCAAUCCCAGGGGCAGUGUUAGUGAAACCAAGGAAGAAAGUUAGAAAAAAAGGAUCAGAAGAGUGAACAAUGGAAGAAGGAAAGAAGGAGGUCCAUAUAGGUCAUAUGACAUAUGCAUUAAGGUAAGGUAGUAGUUAACAU